rnacentral:rRNA from 1 species
CGCGUAGGUGGUUUGUUAAGUUGGAUGUGAAAUCCCCGGGCUCAACCUGGGAACUGCAUUCAAAACUGACAAGCUAGAGUACGGUAGAGGGUGGUGGAAUUCCCGGUGUAGCAGUGAAAUGCGUAGAGAUCGGGAGGAACACUCGUGGCGAAGGCGGCCACCUGGACCAGUACUGACGCUGAGGCACGAAAGCGUGGGGAGCAAACAGGAUUAGAUACCCUUGUA